CAGUCGCCGCGGUAACACGAAGGGGGCUAGCGUUGUUCGGAUUUACUGGGCGUAAAGGGCGCGUAGGCGGGCUGAUAAGUCAGGGGUGAAAUCCCAAGGCUCAACCUUGGAACUGCCUUUGAUACUGUUUGUCUUGAGUUCGAGAGAGGUAAGUGGAACUGCGAGUGUAGAGGUGAAAUUCGUAGAUAUUCGCAAGAACACCAGUGGCGAAGGCGGCUUACUGGCUCGGAAUUGACGCUGAGGCGCGAAAGCGUGGGGAGCGAACAGGAUUAGAUACCCCCGUAGUCCCUGUCUCUUAUAC
rnacentral:rRNA from 1 species